UACGAAGGGUGCAAGCGUUAUUCGGAAUCAUUGGGCGUAAAGCGCGCGCAGGCGGAUUAAUAAGUCAGGUGUGAAAUCUCGAAGCUCAACUUCGAAACUGCGCCUGAAACUAUUAGUCUAGAGUGUUGGAGGGGGUAGGGGAAUUUCACGUGUAGGGGUAAAAUCCGUAGAGAUGUGAAGGAACACCGGAGGCGAAGGCGCCUACCUGGACAACUACUGACGCUGAGGCGCGAAGGCGUGGGGAGCAAACAGG
rnacentral:rRNA from 1 species